rnacentral:rRNA from 1 species
GACGAACGCUGGCGGCGUGCUUAAUACAUGCCAGUCGAACGAGAGCGACCGGUGCUUGCACUGGUCAAUUCUAGUGGCGAACGGGUGAGUAACACGUGGGUAACCUGCCCAUCAGAGGGGGAUAACAUCCGGAAACGGAUGCUAAAACCGCAUAGGUCUUCGAGCCGCAUGGCUUGAAGAGGAAAAGAGGCGCAAGCUUCUGCUGAUGGAUGGACCCGCGGUGCAUUAGCUAGUUGGUGAGGUAACGGCUCACCAAGGCCGUGAUGCAUAGCCGACCUGAGAGGGUGAUCGGCCACAUUGGGACUGAGACACGGCCCAAACUCCUACGGGAGGCAGCAGUAGGGAAUCUUCCGCAAUGGACGCAAGUCUGACGGAGCAACGCCGCGUGAGUGAAGAAGGUUUUCGGAUCGUAAAACUCUGUUGUUAGAGAAGAACAAGUGCUAGAGUA